CAGUAGCCGCGGGAAUACGGAGGAUCCGAGCGUUAUCCGGAAUUAUUGGGUUUAAAGGGUGCGUAGGCGGAUAGAUAAGUCAGUGGUGAAAGACGGUGGCUCAACCAUCGCAGUGCCGUUGAUACUGUUUAUCUUGAAUAUGGAUGAGGUAGGCGGAAUGUGGCAAGUAGCGGUGAAAUGCAUAGAUAUGCCACAGAACACCGAUUGCGAAGGCAGCUUACCAAGGCAAAAUUGACGCUGAGGCACGAAAGCGUGGGGAUCGAACAGGAUUAGAUACCCGAGUAGUCCCUGUCUCUUAUAC
rnacentral:rRNA from 1 species